UAAAUAUAUAAAACCAAAGCCAUUAUUUUGUACCCAUCCUCAUCUUCUUCAACCGAUUUUAACCUAGAAAAGCCAUGGAUACAUCCGGCCAAGCUUGUGAGCUAAAUUAGAAAGAAGAAGAAAGCUAUUGCAUGUUCAUUUUGAGCUCAAUUAGGAGCUGGUUCCAUAAGAAAUUCGGUGGCAGCAAGAAGAGGAAGGAUAUCGUUCAAGGGUGGGCUCGACUGCUGUUCAUGUUGUCAGGUUGGCUCGGGGUUGAAGAUCUUCGGAAGUAUCAUCACACUAUUAGUUUAUCAAAUUAGAAUAAUGGUAAUUCUUAUUUAUUGUCAAAUAAGUGGCAUGUAUAGAUAAUUAUUUAUUGAUAUUAAGUAAUAUUAUGAUUUAGCCAAAUGUAUAGACUCAUUUUGCUUCAUUGUAUAUAGCCAUAAGAUUUGGCUCAUAAUGGUUAAAGUUAUGUAAACUAUUUUAUGUAUGCA